rnacentral:rRNA from 1 species
UGCGUAGGCGGAUUGUUAAGUCAGUGGUGAAAGUCUAUGGCUCAACCGUAGAAGUGCCAUUGAUACUGGCAGUCUUGAGUACAGUAGAGGUAGGCGGAAUUUAUGGUGUAGCGGUGAAAUGCAUAGAUACCAUAAAGAACACCUAUAGCGAAGGCAGCUUACUAUGCUGUAACUGACGCUGAGGCACGAAAGCGUGGGGAGCGAACAGGAUUAGAUACCCUGGUAGUCC